AGAGUUUGAUCAUGGCUCAGAACGAACGCUGGCGGCGUGCUUAACACAUGCAAGUCGAGUGCGCGUACCGUAGCAAUACGGUAUGGCGCACGGCGCACGGGUGCGUAACACGUGGGCAAUCUGCCCUUCGAUGGGGAAUAUCUUCGGGAAACCGAAGCGAAUUCCGCAUAACAUUCCUUGGACUUCGGUUCGAGGACUCAAAGCCGUAAGGCGUCGAAGGAGGAGCCCGCGCCCGAUUAGCUAGUUGGUGAGGUAACGGCUCACCAAGGCAAUGAUCGGUAGCUGGUCUGAGAGGAUGGCCAGCCACACUGGAACUGAGACACGGUCCAGACUCCUACGGGAGGCAGCAGUGGGGAAUCUUGCGCAAUGGGCGAAAGCCUGACGCAGCGACGCCGCGUGGGGGAUGAAGCAUCUCGGUGUGUAAACCCCUUUCGACUGGGACGAAUGCCUCGCAAGAGGAGUGACGGUACCAGUAGAAGAAGCCCCGGCUAACUACGUGCCAGCAGCCGCGGUAAGACGUAGGGGGCCAGCGUUGUUCGGAAUUACUGGGUGUAAAGGGUUCGUAGGCGGUGUGGCAAGUCGGGAGUGAAAUUUCUGGGCUUAACCCAGAAGCCGCUUCCGAAACUGCUGUGCUUGAGUGUGGGAGAGGCGCGUGGAAUUGCAGGUGUAGCGGUGAAAUGCGUAGAUAUCUGCAGGAACACCCGUGGCGAAAGCGGCGCGCUGGACCACUACUGACGCUGAGGAACGAAAGCUAGGGGAGCAAACAGGAUUAGAUACCCUGGUAGUCCUAGCCCUAAACGAUCACGACUUGGGGUGCCACCCGUUCGGGUGUCGUCCCGGAGCUAACGCGUUAAGUCCUGCACCUGGGGAGUACGGUCGCAAGACUGAACUCAAGGAAUUGACGGGGCCCGCACAAGCGGUGGAACAUGUGGUUCAAUUCGACGCUACGCGAGGAACCUUACCUGGGCUCGAAAUGCUUCUGAC
rnacentral:rRNA from 1 species